ensembl:lncRNA
AGGGCCUGGGGCAGAGCCUGCCUGCCCUGGGCCUCAUCCCCCUGCUCCAUGAGGGGAGGCCCUAGGUGUGUAGCUCUGUCCUGGUUCCAUCAGAUUGCUCCACAUCUACCCUAGUGUAGGGCCUAGAGAGGCGCCUCUGAGACGGAGAAGCGGCGGGGAAGCUGGCCAGCGGUGUGGAAGCAAGUGCCCGGCAGCUGGCAGCGCAGAGGGAGGACGGGGCCUCUGCAAGGCGGCCCGCCUGCGAGAAAAAGCGGAUCACUCCAACCCGCCCGACCGGUGGUGCUGAAAUUCAGAUAAGCCGGGCGCGUGAUCCAGCCGGCUUUGCGGCAGACCCACCCCAAGCGGGAACACAGAAGUGAUUAGGCCUAAAAGCUCGGGCCAUUUAGCUUUUAUUCGAUUGGCAGCGAGGCCCGGGGUGCCCUCUGCUUCUGCCGUUUGAUUAUACAUCUGUGCUCAAAAUACUGUUCCUGGAACGGAGGGGCCGCAGGCUGCCUUGGAAUGGAAAUCAAUUUGAUUAGAGAGCAGUCAAUUACCGUGAGGACCAGGCUGCCGUCCACCUCCGCAAAACAGGCCACUUUCCGAGGAAAUGCCAGCUUGCUCCGCGCGGGCGGGGGCGGGGCAGACCCGCUGUGGGCGGGACGGGAAGGCCUGGUGUGGGCGGGGACGGGUCGGGGCAAACCAUGGUGGGCGGGGCGGACGGACCGGAAGGGGCGAGGUGGGUGGAGCAGGCCUGCACCCUUGCUUCCCUCCCUCUGAGAGGCUGCUCUCUGCUGCCUUCUCCCCUAGAUUCCUCCUGCAGAGGCUGGACUACCACGUGUCUGGACCGCUCUGGGGGCCCUGACCAGGGAGGCAGGCCUGGGUCUGGUCGCCACCUACUCCUGCAUCAGAAGCAAGCUGUGCAUGUCACCAAUGUGGGAGCCCCCCGGGUAGGACUGGAGCGGGGUGGUGCCCCAGGACCUGUCCAGUCCUCCACUAGAACUCGCAGCACCUCCGUGCUGAACUCAAGGUGCCCGUCGAGGGGAAGUGGGGACUGGAGAUUUACCCCUUCCAUCCUCCUGGCUGGACACCCGCAUGCAGUGAGCCACCUGCAGACUGGAACACUUCAGCCCUGCACUCAAGAGUCAGCAGGUGCGCAGUGACCGAAAGCAGAAACAACCCCGUGCCCAUCAACAGAUGAAGGACACCAAGAUUCAGUCCAUCCGCACGAGGAAGUGCUAUUCAACCCUAAAGAAGAAUGAAGGGCCGGCUCAGGCUGCCUCGUGGACGAACCUUGAAAACACGAUGCUGAGCAAAGGAAGCCAGACACCAUAUUGGUCAAUUCCAUUUAUAUGAAAUUCCAGAACAGGCCAAAGCAGGUCGGUGUUUGCUAGGGGCCAGGGGAGGGAAGGAGGGAUGAGAGUGAUGGGUAAAGGGUCUCAGUCUGGGGGGACUAGUUUUGAAACUAGACAGUGGUGUUAAUUGCACAAUAUCAUGAGGAAUGUACUUAAUGCCACUGAAUUGUUCAAUUUACAAUGAUCAGAAUGGCACAUUUUAUGUUAUAUGUAUUUUACCACAGUGAAAAAAAAACAACCCGAAACCCUCAUGUCCAGUGAGUGUUGGAGCUGAGUGGGAAGCCGAGUCAGGCCGGCCCGGGCCAUCACCCUCCACCCAGUGCACCCCAGAACAGCGGCUUGACGCAGAGGGGCCCAGUUCUCAGGCAGGACACCUCCUGUGUGUGGCUAGGGGUCCCACAACCCCGGAGGCUGUGUGCUGUGAGCAGGGGGUGCAGCAGGUUACUUUGCCUCCCAAGUGGGUACCCCGGUGGGGGCAAGAUGCACUUCUGAACUAAUUGAGCUCUUGUCUGAUGGGAGGUCUGCCCCUGCCAGAGCUUCAAGGUCAAAAGAAAGGGCUGAAGGAGGCGUGUGCUGCAGCCCAGAUCGGGCCCGAGGCGUGCUCUGGUCCCUGAAGGGUCUGCCCGACUCCCUUCCAGACCAAGGGAAGCUUCUGGAAACCUGGGAGGCAGGCAAGGCAGCAGGGGAGGGAAGAGCCUCACCCCAGCCCAUGUGUCCCUGUGAAGCUUAGCCCCCCAGAUUGUGAGAGGAAGGGGCCCCCAUCCUCUCAAGCCCCUCAACCACUGGGGAGGUGAGUGUCUUGUCCCCUUACAGAGAGGUCUAAGCCACCAAGGAGAAGCAAAGACCCAACCCAGGGCUCUGAGUCCAGGGCUUACAGGCACCAUGACGAGGACCAGGGACACCUGGGCAUAUGGGAGGGAGGGAGGGGGAAGAAGGAAGGGAGGCAGGGUCAGUGGGCACUUUGGGCAGUGGUCAGGGGUCGGGAAAGGCUUCCUGCUGAGGUGUCCCAGAGCAGCUGCGAGAGCAGAGGCAGAGUCUGAGCCAAAGAUGGGCCCAGAACCUCAGCCCCAAUGGGGCGCGGAUACUCCUGAGGCCUCGAGGGCCCAGCCUGUGACACCCCUCCGUCCCUCCGUCCCUCCCCCCCACCAGGCCUCUCUGCGGCUCUGGGCCUGGGCCACCUCCAGCCCUGGGUGGAAGGAGAGGCCGCCCCAGGAGAGACAGCUGUACAUCAGUCCUGCACGUUGGUUCCUGACGAGGCUCUGAGUCAUAUGCUCCCUGUGUUCGUCCGCAGAGUGGAGCAGAUGGUGGUGCAGUAACACUUUAAAUUAAGUAUUCCAAAAGCACAUUAAAUCUAGAUUGAAUAAGACAGUUAUUGUAUGGAAAUUGAAGGCCCAUUGGUUCUUCUCUGAGUAUCGAGGUCCAGCAGCUCCUCAUCCAGUCUCUCCCCGCCUUGAUUUCGAGGGUGGCUCAUGAGUGUGCCUGGGCAGCGGGGCAGGGCUUUCCCAUAUCAGCCCCCCAGGGACCCCCGCCUCGCACGGACCUCAGUUUCUGAACCCCUGUCCCCCUGGCCUUGCUCCGGAGCUGACCGCAGUUCCCUUGCUGGAGGCUAACGAGGGCUGGGUACCACCCUCAGGCUGGCUUGGAGGGCUCUCAUGGAAUCCUCCAGAAGCUGGAGGCUGAGAGGGGAAGGGACUUGUUCCAGGACUCUCUGCGGGGGCGGGGGGAGGUGGGGGGAGGGGCAGGGCGGGAGGGGCACACAGGGGUCUGGGAGGGGUCCUGCCGGAGGUGGCCAGGUGGACACGGAGCCUGGUGAACCAAGCUUUGCUGAGCAAGGAUGGUGGGGGGAACAGCUCACCCUCAGUACCAUCCUCCCCAAGCCCUGCCCUUCUCCUCCCCCACCAUCCUAUCCCCCCAGUGCGAGAGGGAGCGCCCCUGGGAAGGGGCGAUUCCGGGAGCACUGCCCCCCCCAGGCCUCCUCAGACCAGGGGCUGGAAGCUGCUAAGUGCCUGAUGAGUUCUUGUGGCCACAGUAAAUCUGGUCACUUCGUCCCUGCGGAGAGGCCCCCGGCCUCCAGGCGGAGGAAACCGGCUCCCCGACCUCAAGCAGGUGAACGCCGGCCCAUGGCGGCAGUUCCUGUAACCGGCAGCCGUGCUAUUAAUAAUCAAUCCAUUGGCCCUAAAAGCUUCAGGGGGAGCAGAGAGGCCUCUGUGGGGGCCUGGCAGGGAGGGGGUCUGCACAUGGCCCAGAGCCUGGGCAGGAGGCUGGGAGCACGGGGACCUACCUGGAGUCACAGCUGGCCCACCAGGUCUGCUGAGAGACACCUGGAACCCGGCCUCUGUCCCCAGAGUUAGGUCCAGGACCCGCGAUCAGGGGCGGGAUGUGGGCUGGGGGCCUGCCCUCAGCCAGGCGGUCACCGCUGGCUAGGCGGCCAGAUUCAUCAACUGAAGAUACACAGUGAAAGUGAAGAUAGUCAGUCACUCGUGUCUGACUCUUUGCAACCCCAUGGACUGUAGCUCACUAGACUCCUCUGUCCAUGGCAUUCUCCACUCCAGGAAUACUGGCGUGGGUCCCUAUUUCCUCCUCCAGGGGAUCUUCCUGACCCAGGGAUCAGACCCAGGUCUCCCACAUUGCAGGUGGAUUCCUUACCAUCUGACCACCAGGGACACCCAUCCUUCUUCAGACCAAAUUUCACAUUCAUAAGGAAUAACUUUUUAGUUCAAGGACUUCCCAUGCAGUCUGGGGACAUAUCAUUGUUUGAAAUUCAGAUUCAGCUGGGUCUUCUGUAUUUUAUCUGGCAAGCCCCUGCCCUUGCGGCUCCUCCUUCCCUGGAACCCGGGCUCUGUACGGCUCUGGGGCUCUCUCUGUGCUCUGGCCUCCCUGCCUCCCCUCCACCCCUGCCCCAGGG